ACACUGGCACUGAAACACGGGCCAGACUCCUACGGGAGGCAGCAGUGGGGAAUCUUGCACAAUGGGGGAAACCCUGAUGCAGCGACGCCGCGUGAGCGAUGAAGCCCUUCGGGGUGUAAAGCUCUUUCGGCAGGGAAGAUUAUGACGGUACCUGCAGAAGCAGCUGCGGCUAACUACGUGCCAGCAGCCGCGGUAAUACGUAGGCAGCGAGCGUUGUUCGGAGUUACUGGGCGUAAAGGGUGUGUAGGCGGUUGCUUAAGUUUGGUGUGAAAUCUCCCGGCUCAACUGGGAGGGUGCGCCGAAUACUGAGUGACUAGAGUGCGGGAGAGGAAAGUGGAAUUCCUGGUGUAGCGGUGAAAUGCGUAGAUAUCAGGAGGAACACCGGUGGUGUAGACGGCUUUCUGGACCGUAACUGACGCUGAGACACGAAAGCGUGGGUAGCAAACAGGAUUAGAUACCCUGGUAGUCCACGCCCUAAACGAUGCAUAUUUGGUGUGGGCAGUUCAUUCUGUCCGUGCCGGAGCUAACGCGUUAAAUAUGCCGCCUGGGGAGUACAGUCGCAAGGCUGAAACUCAAAGGAAUUGACGGGGGCCCGCACAAGCGGUGGAGCAUGUGGUUCAAUUCGACCACGCGAAGAACCUUACCUGGGCUCGAACGGCUUCUUAACGCUAGUAGAAAUACUGGUAUCCCGCAAGGGAGUGGAGUCGAGGUGCUGCAUGGCUGUCGUCAGCUCGUGUCGUGAGAUGUUGGGUUAAGUCCCGCAACGAGCGCAACCCUUGUCCUGUGUUGCCAUGCCGAAAGGCGGAACUCACAGGAGACCGCCAGCGAUAAGCUGGAGGAAGGUGGGGCACGUCAAGUCCUCAUGGCCUUUAUGUCCAGGGCUACACACGUGCUACAAUGGACGGUACAAAGCGUCGCAAACCCGCGAGGGGGAGCCAAUCGCAAAAAACCGUUCUCAGUUCGGAUUGCAGGCUGCAACUCGCCUGCAUGAAGCUGGAAUCGCUAGUAAUGGCAGAUCAGCACGCUGCCGUGAAUACGUUCCCGGGCCUUGUACACACCGCCCGUCACAUCACGAAAGUGGAUUGUACUAGAAGUCUGCAGGCUGACCCGCAAGGGGGGCAGCGGCCCAAGGUAUGAUCCAUGAUUGGGGUGAAGUCGUAACAAGGUAGCCGUAGGAGAACCUGCGGCUG
rnacentral:rRNA from 1 species